AAAGUCGUAACAAGGUUUCCGUAGGUGAACCUGCGGAAGGAUCAUUAAGAGAGGAUUUAAAAACACACCGUGAACAAAACACAGUAAUUAUAUCUCUGUAGGUUGAUAAAAACAACUUUUAGCAACGGAUCUCUAGGUUCUC
rnacentral:misc_RNA from 1 species